AUUGAACGCUGGCGGCAUGCCUUACACAUGCAAGUCGAACGGCAGCAUGAUCUAGCUUGCUAGAUUGAUGGCGAGUGGCGAACGGGUGAGUAAUACAUCGGAACGUGCCCUGUAGUGGGGGAUAACUAGUCGAAAGAUUAGCUAAUACCGCAUACGACCUGAGGGUGAAAGUGGGGGACCGCAAGGCCUCAUGCUAUAGGAGCGGCCGAUGUCUGAUUAGCUAGUUGGUGAGGUAAAGGCUCACCAAGGCGACGAUCAGUAGCUGGUCUGAGAGGACGAUCAGCCACACUGGGACUGAGACACGGCCCAGACUCCUACGGGAGGCAGCAGUGGGGAAUUUUGGACAAUGGGCGAAAGCCUGAUCCAACAAUGCCGCGUGUGUGAAGAAGGCCUUCGGGUUGUAAAGCACUUUUGUCCGGAAAGAAAUGGCUCUGGUUAAUACCUGGGGUCGAUGACGGUACCGGAAGAAUAAGGACCGGCUAACUACGUG
rnacentral:rRNA from 1 species